rnacentral:rRNA from 1 species
GACGAACGCUGGCGGCGUGCUUAACACAUGCAAGUCGAACGGAAAGGCCCUUCGGGGUACUCGAGUGGCGAACGGGUGAGUAACACGUGGGUGAUCUGCCCUGCACUUUGGGAUAAGCCUGGGAAACUGGGUCUAAUACCGAAUAGGACCACGCGCUUCAUGGUGUGUGGUGGAAAGCUUUUGCGGUGUGGGAUGGGCCCGCGGCCUAUCAGCUUGUUGGUGGGGUAAUGGCCUACCAAGGCGACGACGGGUAGCCGGCCUGAGAGGGUGACCGGCCACACUGGGACUGAGAUACGGCCCAGACUCCUACGGGAGGCAGCAGUGGGGAAUAUUGCACAAUGGGCGCAAGCCUGAUGCAGCGACGCCGCGUGAGGGAUGACGGCCUUCGGGUUGUAAACCUCUUUCAAUAGGGACGAAGCGCAAGUGACGGCACCUAUAGAAGAAGCACCGGCCAACUACGUG